rnacentral:rRNA from 1 species
AUUGAACGCUGGCGGCAGGCCUAACACAUGCAAGUCGAGCGGAGCGGCGGACGGGUGAGUAAUGCCUCGGAAUCUGCCUGGUGGUGGGGGAUAACGUCCGGAAACGUGCGCUAAUACCGCAUACUAUCAGAUGAGACUAGGUCGGAUGAGCUAGUUGGUGGGGUAAAGGCUUACCAGGGCGACGAUCCGUAACUGGUCUGAGAGGAUGAUCAGUCACACUGGAACUGAUGAACGGUCCAGACUCGUACGAGAGGCAGCAGUGGGGAAUAUUGGACAAUGGGCGAAAGCCUGAUCCAGCCAUGCCGCGUGUGUGAAGAAGUUCUUCGGAGUGUAAAGCACUUGAAGUUGGGAGGCGUUACCAACAGAAUAAGCACCGGCUAACUUCGUGCCAGCAGCCGCGGUAAUAC